GCAAAUCAAAGGAUCUCAAGCAGUAAUUGGCAGGAAGAACCUGCUCAUUACUGGUUAUCAGACGCUUCUAAUUUGAAUGAGUUACCUUCUUCGGUAACAAGAGGUGAUCCAGUUUGGAACAUAUCAAGAAACUUAUUAACAGCCACAAAAAACAUACUAAAUCAGGAGGAGACACCUAUCACAUA